rnacentral:rRNA from 1 species
GACGUUAGCGAUGAGGUCCCACCUGUUCUCAUCCCGAACACAGAAGUUAAGCUCAUCAGCGCCGAAAAUACUUUAUUGGAGACGAUACGGGAAAAUAGGUCGUUGCU